rnacentral:rRNA from 1 species
GAGUUUGAUCCUGGCUCAGAUUGAACGCUGGCGGCAUGCCUUACACAUGCAAGUCGAACGGCAGCAUGAUCUAGCUUGCUAGAUUGAUGGCGAGUGGCGAACGGGUGAGUAAUACAUCGGAACGUGCCCUGUAGUGGGGGAUAACUAGUCGAAAGAUUAGCUAAUACCGCAUACGACCUGAGGGUGAAAGUGGGGGACCGCAAGGCCUCAUGCUAUAGGAGCGGCCGAUGUCUGAUUAGCUAGUUGGUGGGGUAAAGGCCCACCAAGGCGACGAUCAGUAGCUGGUCUGAGAGGACGAUCAGCCACACUGGGACUGAGACACGGCCCAGACUCCUACGGGAGGCAGCAGUGGGAAUUUGGACAAUGGGCGAAAGCCUGAUCCAGCAAUGCCGCGUGUGUGAAGAAGG